rnacentral:rRNA from 1 species
AGAAUCAACGCUGGCGGCGUGCCUAACACAUGCAAGUCGCACGAGAAAGUGGAGCAAUCCAUGAGUACAGUGGCGCACGGGUGAGUAACACGUGAAUAAUCUACCUCCGAGUGGGGAAUAACUGAGAGAAAUCUUAGCUAAUACCGCAUAAUACCCACGGGUCAAAGCAGCAAUGCGCUUGGAGAGGAGUUCGCGGCCGAUUAGCUAGUUGGCGGGGUAAUGGCCCACCAAGGCGAUGAUCGGUAUCCGGCCUGAGAGGGCGCACGGACACACUGGAACUGAAACACGGUCCAGACUCCUACGGGAGGCAGCAGUGGGGAAUUUUGCGCAAUGGGGGAACCCUGACGCAGCAACGCCGCGUGGAGGAUGAAGCCCCUUGGGGUGUAAACUCCUUUCGAUCGGGAAGAUAAUGACGGUACCGAUAUAAGAAGCCCGGCUAACUUCGUGCCAGCAGCCGC